AUUGAACGCUGGCGGCAUGCUUUACACAUGCAAGUCGGACGAGUGGCGAACGGGUGAGUAAUAUAUUGGAACGUGCCCAGUAGUGGGGGAUAACCACUCGAAAGAUUGGCUAAUACCGCAUAUUAUUCGAGCGGCCGAUAUCUGAUUAGCUAGUUGGGGGGGUAAAGGCCUACCAAGGCGACGAUCAGUAGCUGGUCUGAGAGGAUGAUCCGCCACACGGGGACUGAGACACGGCCCAGACUCUUACGGGAGGCAGCAGUGGGGAAUUUUGGACAAUGGGCGAAAGCCUGAUCCAGCCAUGCCGCGUGUCUGAAGAAGGCCGUCGGGUUGUAAAGGACGUUUGGUAGGGAAGCGGUACCUAAAGAAUAAGCACCGGCUAACUACGUGCCAGCAGCCGCGGUAAUUC
rnacentral:rRNA from 1 species